rnacentral:antisense_RNA from 1 species
AAUUAUGGCGGCUGGGCGUGGGAGACCUUCGGGUCUGCCGGUUUUCGCAUGCACCGGUUCGCCAACCCGCGCACAGCUGCCACCCUA